UGCCCUCAAGUACUUGAACGUGCGCGGAUGGUACUUGCACUUGAAUGUUGCCUUGGCAAUCAUCUCCUGUACCUCCUUGUUGGACGCUGAUGGCAGUGCGCGAGACGACACUGGGCUCUGCUGUGCUAGCUUGUUUUCCUCGUCAUAGAUGGCCAGCAACUGCAGGGAGGUGUCGCUGGGUGCAUGAGCCGGUGGACUCCAUUUGGAGAUGGAUAUUGAGAGAAGAGAUUUCUUGAUGGAUCUGGAUGCUUUGGAGAUCUGGUGUGCUUUGUUGAAGUCUACGUUUGCCAGGGUUUAAAAGCUAGGGAGAGCGGCGAGUGAUGGGUCAUGUACAGUGGGAGACUAGCGAGAAAUGAAACUUAAGUAAUAAACACUGUGUAAUGUUGUCUUGUUUUUUUUUCCGAAAUGGGUUGCCCCAGUCUCUGCAUCGCAAUGAUGCAUACAGCCGCUGAUGUUGUCUUGUAGGAGGGAAAGGUUGGGCAAGGUGACCUUUUUGUCUGUGUGCUUGUUGUGUGGGUGUGCAUGUAAGUGCUGAUAGUCCUCUGCUAUUCUUAGCACAAGUAAAUGCUGCUUACACAUUUAGAGCACAUUAACUUCACCUUGAUAUCAUAUUGACAUGACACCUCUAGGCCCUACCUCAGCUCAAGUUUAUGUUUUCUAUUUAAUUGUUAUCUUUCUGCCAUGACACAGGACAUUGAGUCUAUAUCACACAUUGGACAGGAGGCAGUUAUAGUUGAUUGUUAUCAACGCCCAGCUCCAACAUAUCUGGAACAGCUCAAGCAAGUUUCUAGUUUCUACAAAAUUCAUAGUGUUGGUUGUGAGCUCUCUAGACCCCAGUUAAGUGCUGUAAUUGCCCUUAUCUCCUUGAAUGUCUGGAAACUUCACUUGUCAAAAAUCCCGAUAUGACUAAUGCAACUAGCCAACUACUGCUUCUUGACAAAAUUCUUCAAGAGAUCAGCAACAAGAGGUUAAGAGUCAUUGUUCCUUUUCAGUCUGGUGGAGUAGGUGCAAACCCAAUGGGUGAUAUUCUGAAAGAUGUCGCGCGUCCCAGAUUUGGUCCCAGAGUCAUAUGAAUGUGUUAAAUGUGGUGCAGUGAUGCCAAAUAAAACUGGCGACAAUUAAUAUGUUCACUGACAAGACCAUGGGGAGAUUUGUUUUUCAGUUUGACUCCUUCAAAAGGCAUCUAAUUUGUUGCGAACCAAACAUGAAUAGUUUCUCAUAUCUUAGCUGUCAAAGAUUUAUGAUUGUUUUGAACAAAUAUACACCGAGAAGUUCGACCAAAUACUUUGUAAACCGACAUCUAUCUAGAAGCACAUGUUGAAGUA